GGCUCGCAGCAUGAACGGACAAUCGUUGCCAUGCUUGCAAACAAACCACAAACAAGUCGUACUGGAACGAUCCACGGCGUACUCCACGUGAUUCUCCAUAUGAUACAGGCCAACAGCGAUCGCCAAAUUAUCCUUCGACCGGAAUAGAGCCCCCACUGAUAAUAUCCCGCUCUCCAAUACGUUAGAAUCCUCUCAACCUAAUGCUGACGCAUCGUCAAAAUCGAGGACUGAAACCCCCAGUCACGUGCCUCAAGCUGCUGAACUCCACCACGAGGCUCGAUAUCGGGCUGAUAAUCCGAUGUGAAAUUCUGAGGCCCUGUCUGUCUCCACGCUUCCUAUUCAGUCGACAUUGAAUCCAAUAUCUCUCUGCGUAGUAUCGCCUCUUCUUCCUCAUCCGAAGACUCGGACUCGUCUUCCUCCUCCUGCGACGAUGAAUCAUCCCUACUUCUUCCAACGUCUGUCUCGAUAGGAAACACAGUAGAACGUUGUCUCUCAUAAUAUACCCGCUCCUGAGUCUGAGGAACCGGAGCCGCAGAUCG
rnacentral:lncRNA from 1 species